AUACGUAGGGGGCGAGCGUUGUCCGGAAUGAUUGGGCGUAAAGGGCGCGUAGGCGGCCCGGUAAGUCUGGAGUGAAAGUCCUGUUUUUAAGAUGGGAAUUGCUUUGGAUACUGUCGGGCUUGAGUGCAGGAGAGGUAAGUGGAAUUCCCAGUGUAGCGGUGAAAUGCGUAGAGAUUGGGAGGAACACCAGUGGCGAAGGCGACUUACUGGACUGUAACUGACGCUGAGGCGCGAAAUUGUGGGGAGCAAACAGGAUUAGAUACCCUGGUAGUCCACACUGUAAACGAUGAAUGCUAGGUGUAGGGGGUAUCGACCCCUUCUGCGCCGCAGUCAACACAAUAAGCAUUCCGCCUGGGGAGUACGGCCGCAAGGUUGAAACUCAAAUGAAUUGACGGGG
rnacentral:rRNA from 1 species